AUUAGAUACCCGGGUAGUCCAUGCCGUAAACGAUGUCUACUAGCCGUUGGGGCCUUUGAGGCUUUAGUGGCGCAGCUAACGCGAUAAGUAGACCGCCUGGGGAGUACGGUCGCAAGACUAGAACUCAAAUGAAUUGACGGGGGCCCGCACAAGCGGUGGAGCAUGUGGUUUAAUUCGAUGCAACGCGAAGAACCUUACCUGGUCUUGACAUAGUAAGAACUUUCCAGAGAUGGAUUGGUGCCUUCGGGAACUUACAUACAGGUGCUGCAUGGCUGUCGUCAGCUCGUGUCGUGAGAUGUUGGGUUAAGUCCCGCAACGAGCGCAACCCUUUUCUUUAUUUGCCAGCGGGUUAAGCCGGGAACUUUAAGGAUACUGCCAGUGACAAACUGGAGGAAGGCGGGGACGACGGUCAAGUCAUCAUGGCCCUUACGACCAGGGCUACACACGUGCUACAAUGGUCGGUACAAAGGGUUGCUACCUAGCGAUAGGAUGCUAAUCUCAAAAAGCCGAUCGUAGUCCGGAUUGGAGUCUGCAACUCGACUCC
rnacentral:rRNA from 1 species